AAAUAGCCCUGAUGGAAACGACAUCCUUUUUAUUUGUGGUUUACCAACAAAUAAAAAGAUAUAGUGAACAGCAGGAAUAGCU
rnacentral:sRNA from 2 species